AAAGGUGCUCAAAUUAGACAU
rnacentral:miRNA from 1 species